CCCUUCGGGGCGAAGAUAAGACGGAUUAGCGGCGGACGGGUGAGUAACACGUGAGUAACCUGCCUUUUACACAGGGAUAGCCUCGGGAAACCGGGAUUAAAACCUGAUGAAACUAUCAAAUCACAUGAUUAAGAAAGUUAAAACUCCGGUGGUAAAAGAUGGACUCGCGUCCCAUUAGCUAGUUGGUGAAGGUAACGGCCCACCAAGGCAACGAUGGGUAGCCGGCCUGAGAGGGUGAACGGCCACAUUGGAACUGAGAAACGGUCCAAACUCCUACGGGAGGCAGCAGUC
rnacentral:rRNA from 1 species